rnacentral:rRNA from 1 species
AAAUUGAAGAGUUUGAUCAUGGCUCAGAUUGAACGCUGGCGGCAGGCCUAACACAUGCAAGUCGAACGGUAACAGGAAACAGCUUG